UACGACGGAGCACGUGAAAUUCCGUCGGAAUCUGGGAGGACCAUCUCCUAAGGCUAAAUACUCUCUAGUGACCGAUAGUGAACCAGUACCGUGAGGGAAAGGUGAAAAGCACCCCGGAAGGGGAGUGAAAUAGAACCUGAAACCGUGUGCUUACAAGUAGUCAGAGCCCGUUAAUGGGUGAUGGCGUGCCUUUUGUAGAAUGAACCGGCGAGUUACGAUUUGAUGCAAGGUUAAGCAGUAAAUGUGGAGCCGUAGCGAAAGCGAGUCUGAAUAGGGCGUUUAGUAUUUGGUCGUAGACCCGAAACCAGGUGAUCUACCCUUGGUCAGGUUGAAGUUCAGGUAACACUGAAUGGAGGACCGAACCGACUUACGUUGAAAAGUGAGCGGAUGAACUGAGGGUAGCGGAGAAAUUCCAAUCGAACCUGGAGAUAGCUGGUUCUCUCCGAAAUAGCUUUAGGGCUAGCCUCAAGUGAUGAUUAUUGGAGGUAGAGCACUGUUUGGACGAGGGGCCCCUCUCGGGUUACCGAAUUCAGACAAACUCCGAAUGCCAAUUAAUUUAACUUGGGAGUCAGAACAUGGGUGAUAAGGUCCGUGUUCGAAAGGGAAACAGCCCAGACCACCAGCUAAGGUCCCAAAAUAUAUGUUAAGUGGAAAAGGAUGUGGCGUUGCCCAGACAACUAGGAUGUUGGCUUAGAAGCAGCCAUCAUUUAAAGAGUGCGUAAUAGCUCACUAGUCGAGUGACACUGCGCCGAAAAUGUACCGGGGCUAAACAUAUUACCGAAGCUGUGGAUUGUCCUUUGGACAAUGGUAGGAGAGCGUUCUAAGGGCGUUGAAGCAUGAUCGUAAGGACAUGUGGAGCGCUUAGAAGUGAGAAUGCCGGUGUGAGUAGCGAAAGACGGGUGAGAAUCCCGUCCACCGAUUGACUAAGGUUUCCAGAGGAAGGCUCGUCCGCUCUGGGUUAGUCGGGUCCUAAGCUGAGGCCGACAGGCGUAGGCGAUGGAUAACAGGUUGAUAUUCCUGUACCACCUAUAAUCGUUUUAAUCGAUGGGGGGACGCAGUAGGAUAGGCGAAGCGUGCGAUUGGAUUGCACGUCUAAGCAGUAAGGCUGAGUAUUAGGCAAAUCCGGUACUCGUUAAGGCUGAGCUGUGAUGGGGAGAAGACGUUGUGUCUUCGAGUCGUUGAUUUCACACUGCCGAGAAAAGCCUCUAGAUAGAAAAUAGGUGCCCGUACCGCAAACCGACACAGGUAGUCAAGAUGAGAAUUCUAAGGUGAGCGAGCGAACUCUCGUUAAGGAACUCGGCAAAAUGACCCCGUAACUUCGGGAGAAGGGGUGCUCUUUAGGGUUAACGCCCAGAAGAGCCGCAGUGAAUAGGCCCAAGCGACUGUUUAUCAAAAACACAGGUCUCUGCUAAACCGUAAGGUGAUGUAUAGGGGCUGACGCCUGCCCGGUGCUGGAAGGUUAAGAGGAGUGGUUAGCUUCUGCGAAGCUACGAAUCGAAGCCCCAGUAAACGGCGGCCGUAACUAUAACGGUCCUAAGGUAGCGAAAUUCCUUGUCGGGUAAGUUCCGACCCGCACGAAAGGCGUAACGAUUUGGGCACUGUCUCAACGAGAGACUCGGUGAAAUCAUAGUACCUGUGAAGAUGCAGGUUACCCGCGACAGGACGGAAAGACCCCGUGGAGCUUUACUGUAGCCUGAUAUUGAAAUUCGGCACAGCUUGUACAGGAUAGGUAGGAGCCUUUGAAACGUGAGCGCUAGCUUACGUGGAGGCGCUGGUGGGAUACUACCCUAGCUGUGUUGGCUUUCUAACCCGCACCACUUAUCGUGGUGGGAGACAGUGUCAGGCGGGCAGUUUGACUGGGGCGGUCGCCUCCUAAAAGGUAACGGAGGCGCUCAAAGGUUCCCUCAGAAUGGUUGGAAAUCAUUCAUAGAGUGUAAAGGCAUAAGGGAGCUUGACUGCGAGACCUACAAGUCGAGCAGGGUCGAAAGACGGACUUAGUGAUCCGGUGGUUCCGCAUGGAAGGGCCAUCGCUCAACGGAUAAAAGCUACCCCGGGGAUAACAGGCUUAUCUCCCCCAAGAGUUCACAUCGACGGGGAGGUUUGGCACCUCGAUGUCGGCUCAUCGCAUCCUGGGGCUGUAGUCGGUCCCAAGGGUUGGGCUGUUCGCCCAUUAAAGCGGUACGCGAGCUGGGUUCAGAACGUCGUGAGACAGUUCGGUCCCUAUCCGUCGUGGGCGUAGGAAAUUUGAGAGGAGCUGUCCUUAGUACGAGAGGACCGGGAUGGACAUACCUCUGGUGUACCAGUUGUCGUGCCAACGGCAUAGCUGGGUAGCUAUGUGUGGACGGGAUAAGUGCUGAAAGCAUCUAAGCAUGAAGCCCCCCUCAAGAUGAGAUUUCCCAACUUCGGUUAUAAGAUCCCUCAAA
rnacentral:rRNA from 1 species